AUUGGGAUUCGACUAAGCCAUGCGAGUCGAGAGGGUUCGGCCCUCGGCAGACUGCUCAGUAACAUGUGGAUAACCUAACCUUAGGUGGAGAAUAACCUCGGGAAACUGAGAAUAAUACUCCAUAGAUCUAGGAUGCUGGAAUGCAUCUAGGUUGAAAGUUGCGGCGCCUAAGGAUGGGUCUGCGGACUAUCAGGUUGUAGUCAGGGUAAUGACCUGACUAGCCUACGACGGAUAUGGGUUGUGAGAGCAAUAGCCCAGAGACGAUAUCUGAGACACGAUAUCGGGCCCUACGGGGCGCAGCAGGCGCGAAAUCUUCACAAUGUGCGAGAGCACGAUGAGGGAAUCCCAAGUGCUGGCACGUAAGUGUCAGCUGUUUUCUAGUCUAAAAAACUAGGAGAGUAAGAGCUGGGUAAGACGGGUGCCAGCCGCCGCGGUAAUACCUGCAGCUCAAGUGGUGGCCGCUAUUAUUGGGCCUAAAACGUCCGUAGCCGGUUUAGUAAAUGCUUGGGUAAAUUGUGUAGCUUAACUAUACGAAUACCGAGUAGACUGCUAGACUUGGGACCGGGAGAGGCUAGAGGUACUCCUGGGGUAGAGGUGAAAUUCUGUAAUCCUAGGGGGACCACCAGUGGCGAAGGCGUCUAGCUAGAACGGGUCUGACGGUGAGGGACGAAGCCCUGGGGCGCAAACCGGAUUAGAUACCCGGGUAGUCCAGGGUGUAAACGCUGCUUGCUUGAUGUUAGUUGGGCUCCGAGCCCCACUAGUGUCGGAGAGAAGUUGUUAAGCAAGCUGCCUGGGAAGUACGGUCGCAAGA
rnacentral:rRNA from 1 species